ACGACUCUCGGCAACGGAUAUCUCGGCUCUCGCAUCGAUGAAGAACGUAGCGAAAUGCGAUACUUGGUGUGAAUUGCAGAAUCCCGUGAACCAUCGAGUCUUUGAACGCAAGUUGCGCCCCAAGCCGUUAGGCCGAGGGCACGUCUGCCUGGGUGUCACGCA
rnacentral:rRNA from 1 species